CACAGAGUUAGCCGGUGCUUAUUCUGUCGGUAACGUCAAAGUACUAACGUAUUAGGUUAAUGCCCUUCCUCCCAACUUAAAGUGCUUUACAAUCCGAAGACCUUCUUCACACACGCGGCAUGGCUGGAUCAGGCUUUCGCCCAUUGUCCAAUAUUCCCCACUGCUGCCUCCCGUAGGAGUCUGGACCGUGUCUCAGUUCCAGUGUGACUGAUCAUCCUCUCAGACCAGUUACGGAUCGUAGCCUCGGUGAGCCAUUACCUCACCAACUAGCUAAUCCGACCUAGGCUCAUCUGAUAGCGCAAGGCCCGAAGGUCCCCUGCCUUUCUCCCGUAGGACGUAUGCGGUAUUAGCGUCCGUUUCCGAACGUUACUCCCCCACUACCAGGCAGAUUCCUAGGUAUUACUCACCCGUCCGCCGCUCUCAAGAGGUGCAAGCACCUCUCUACCGCUCGACUUGCAUGUGUUAGGCCUGCCGCCAGCGUUCAAUCUGACGCCAGGAUCAAA
rnacentral:rRNA from 1 species